rnacentral:misc_RNA from 1 species
GGAAGGAUCAUUACCGAAUGAACUGCACCUUCUUGUAGCAGAACCAUUGCCCAUGGCCGGAUGAUCAGAUCUGACAAACAUCAACGGACGCUUUGGUUUGGGACCAUUUUGGCCAUGCUGGAUGGUUGGAUGUACGGUCUCUGGGCUGGGCCCUUUGGUCUGCUACGCUUAUCAAACCCGUCAUUGUAUGUGUGGUGGGGUGGCAUCCACCUUUUGUUGGGUUGCCCCUCAAGUAUGUAAACAUGAAUAUAACUUUCAACAACGGAUCUCUUGGCUCUCGCAUCGAUGAAGAACGCAGCGAAAUGCGAUAAGUAAUGUGAAUUGCAGAAUUCAGUGAAUCAUCGAAUCUUUGAACGCACCUUGCGCUCCUUGGCAUUCCGAGGAGCAUGCCUGUUUGAGUGUCGUUGAAUUCUCAGAACCUUCUGGUUCGGAUUGGUGGAGGAUGCAUUGCUUUGCCUUGCCUUGCUUUGCUUCUCUGAAAUGGAUUGGCCUGCGGCUGUGAUUCACGAGCCUUGUCGGUAGGAUGAUAAUUAAUGUCUUGCCUGCUUCCAACGUGUGCCAGCCAGGCCCAGAUGAGAUAAUCGUCCCUAUCUAUCCCUCCCGUCCAAUUCUGAGUGAGCUUCUCCAAAUUGGAUUGGCUUUUGCCCGUAUGUCCAUAGUAGGUGAUUGGCAAGCCAUAAUCCAAUCACCUCGCCUGGGUGGGUAAGUGUUUGCUGCAGCAUGGCACUGCUCAACGCUAAGAUCUUACCACCCAGAUAGGAAGAGGAUGGGCCUGUUGAUUCUGUAAUUUCCUUCGGGUGCCGGGAUGGGUAACCUUCCCGUUUUAGCCAGGCCAGAUGGAGACGAUCGGCUGCGAUUCGUGGGUCGGGUAAAUACCAUCAAUGUCUUACCUGCUUGAUCAUCGGGUGGCAACGAUGGUCUUGCCAGACCAGCCCAGGCGAGAGGUGGACGCCUGUAUCUAUCUACUACAAUUUGACCUCAAAUCAGGCAGGACUACCCGCUGAACUUAAGCAUAUCAAUAAGCGGAGGAAAAGAAACUAACAAGGAUUCCCCUAGUAACUGCGAGUGAAGCGGGAAGAGCUCAAAUUUAAAAUCUGGCGGUCGCUUGGCCGUCCGAGUUGUAAGCUAGAGAAGUGCCAUCCGCGCUGGGGCCAUGUACAAGUCUCCUGGAACGGAGCGUCAUAGAGGGUGAGAAUCCCGUCUCUGACAUGGACCUCCCGGGGCAUCGCGAUGGCGCUCUCAAGGAGUCGAGUUGUUUGGGAAUGCAGCUCCAAAUGGGUGGUAAAUUCCAUCUAAAGCUAAACAUUGGCGAGAGACCGAUAGCGAACAAGUACCGUGAGGGAAAGAUGAAAAGAACUUUGGAAAGAGAGUUAAACAGUACGUGAAAUUGUUGAAAGGGAAACGCUUGAAGUCAGUCGCGUCGGCUUGGGAUCAGCCUUGCAACCCGCGAGGUGCACUCCCUGGUCGACGGGUCAGCACCAGUUUCGACCGUUGGAGAAAGGUCGGGGGAAUGUGGCAUCCUCGGAUGUGUUUAUAGCCCUCGAUCGCAUGCAUCGGUUGGGAUUGAGGAACUCAGCGCGCCGCAAGGCCGGGUUUUUCAAACCACGUCCGCGCUCAGGGUGCUGGCACAAUGGCUUUAAUCGACCCGUCUUGAAACACGGACCAAGGAGUCUAACAUGUCUGCGAGUGUUUGGGUGGAAAACCCAUGCGCGCAAUGAAAGUGAAAGGUUGAGAUCUCUGUCGUGGAGAGCAUCGACGCCCGGACCAGACCUCCUGUGACGGAUCCGCGGUGGAGCAUGCAUGUUGGGACCCGAAAGAUGGUGAACUAUGCCUGAAUAGGGUGAAGCCAGAGGAAACUCUGGUGGAGGCUCGUAGCGAUUCUGACGUGCAAAUCGAUCGUCGAAUUUGGGUAUAGGGGCGAAAGACUAAUCGAACCAUCUAGUAGCUGGUUCCUGC